AGACCACCAGCCCGCACCUGG
rnacentral:misc_RNA from 1 species